CGCUUUUUGUACUUUUGCACUAAGUGUACACUAACUUGUUUUUGUUAUCGGACAUAAUGUAACCGCUGUUUGUUUUGCCAGUGCAGUUACAUUUCUGGCAACACUUUUUGUACUUGGUCUUGAAAAAAGUAAAAAGAAAAAAGUAAAAAGUGCAAAGUGGCUGAAGACUGAAAAGAGCAACGCGCGCCAAUUUGCGCGCGAGUACACGUGCUCUCGCGCAUCGAAUCGCGGCGACAGAUUCCAAGUCAGGAAAUCAAUUAGCACUUGACAGCAGCUAUUGUCUUUUUGACUUAUAAACAAUAAUAAUUAUUUAAUUUAACGAAAAUUAUAAUUCUAGAUUCUUUUCCUUCCUUCGCAAGUUCCGGAGUCGUUGUGAAAGGACAAUCUAGAACUUUUGUGAUAUAAAAAGAUUGCCGAGACAACCGCGUCGUCUGUCUGAACUUAUCAUUAAAACAGAAUCAGUAUCGGCGUUAAUCAAAAUUCAUAGAGUUGCUUGCUCUCAAAGAUUGCUUGCUCUAUUAAAUCACAGUGUUUUACGAGGUUGCUUGCCUCGUAAAGAAGUAUCAUUGCUUGCGCAAAAUCAUUCAUCAUGAUCGCUUCGCGUUUGCAAAUUUAAAUAGUGUAAUUAGUUCGAUCCGUGUAUAUUACGUUUUUUUUUGUGAACCGUAUUAAAUGUAUAAUAAAUUAUUGACUUGCAUGCAAUUCAGUGAAUGUUUCUUUCGUGCGAAUUUUUUUAUUUCAUUUUUUUACUCCGUGAAAUCCAAACUAGUUAUUUAACGAACAAGUGUAUACACAUUCUUUUAUACGUAACUUUUUAUAACAUUUGUUUUCAGAAUUAUUAUAUAUUUAUAAAAAAGUAAUAUUAAAAGGCAGCAGAUAUUGUGCAAUUACGUGGCUUUUUACAACUGGACUCUUUUGGAAAAAUAAAAAUGGAUUCAAAUGGAUGUGUAAAUUGCACAAUUAAAGAUGGAAAACAGUUAAAAUUUCCGAAGAGAGAUAUAAAUUUUUCUUCGGAUACUUUAAUCUUUAUUCUUGAUAGAACUGAAAUUUGUGUAGUCCUUUCUAAAACAAGAAGAGAAAUAUGUAAUAAUACACAAAAUCAAAAUGAUGAAAAUAUUCAAAAUGAUCAAAAUGAUCGUAAUGAUCAAAAUUAUAAAAAUGAUCAAAAUGAUGAGAAUGAUCAGAAUUGAUCAAAAUAAUCAAAAUAAAACUGCUAUAAAUACAACUUCGUGGUUUUGGAACGAUACAUCAACAAAAUUGUUAGACACUUAUAAAUCUAAAAAAAA